AAAGGGCGCGUAGGCGGACAGUUAAGUUGGGGGUGAAAGCCCGGGGCUCAACCUCGGAAUUGCCUUCAAUACUGGCUGUCUUGAGUACGGGAGAGGUGUGUGGAACUCCGAGUGUAGAGGUGAAAUUCGUAGAUAUUCGGAAGAACACCAGUGGCGAAGGCGACACACUGGCCCGUUACUGACGCUGAGGCGCGAAAGCGUGGGGAGCAAACAGGAUUAGAUACCCUAGU
rnacentral:rRNA from 1 species